UUGAACGCUGGCGGUAGGCUUAACACAUGCAAGUCGUGCGAGAAAGUAUCUUCGGAUAUGAGUAGAGCGGCGGACGGGUGAGUAACGCGUAGGAAUCUACCUAGUAGAAGGGGAUAGCCCGAGGAAACUCGGAUUAAUACCGUAUACCUCCUUCGGGAGAAAGAAGGCCUCUCUUUGAAGCUUUCGCUACUAGAUGAGCCUGCGUAAGAUUAGCUAGUUGGUGAGGUAAUGGCUCACCAAGGCUAUGAUCAAUAGCUGAUUUGAGAGGAUGAUCAGCCACAUUGGGACUGAGACACGGCCCAAAACUCCUACGGGAGGCAGCAGUGGGGAAUCUUGC
rnacentral:rRNA from 1 species